ACGUUGGUAUCUGCCUUUAGGUCAGGGAUAGCCCACUGAAAAGUGGAUUAAUACCGGAUAGUCUCUUCGGAGUAAAAUUUAUUGCCUAAAGAGGAGCCUUCGUUCUAUCAGCUUGUUGGUAAGGUAACGGCUUACCAAGGCUAUGACGGAUAACUGGUCUGAGAGGAUGAUCAGUCACAAUGGAACUGAGACACGGUCCAUACUCCUACGGGAGGCAGCAGUGAGGAAUCUUCCACAAUGGGCGAAAGCCUGAUGGAGUGACACCGCGUGAAGGAUGAAGGUCUAACGAUUGUAAACUUC
rnacentral:rRNA from 1 species